rnacentral:rRNA from 1 species
UGCAAGUCGAACGGAGAUUCAGCAAUGGAUCGUUAGUGGCGAACGGGUGAGUAACGCGUAGGCAAUCUGCCUUCUAGAUGGGGACGAACAUCCCGAAAGGGGGUAGCUAAUACCGAAUGUUGUAUGAUCUUCGCAUGGAGAUGAUACUAAAGGUGGCCUCUGAAUAUGCUACCGCUAGAAGAUGAGCCUGCGUCUGAUUAGCUAGUUGGAGGGGUAACGGCCCACCAAGGCUUCGAUCAGUAGCCGGUCUGAGAGGAUGAACGGCCACACUGGGACUGAGACACGGCCCAGACUCCUACGGGAGGCAGCAGUGGGGAAUCUUCCGCAAUGGACGAAAGUCUGACGGAGCAACGCCGCGUGAGUGAAGAAGGUUUUCGGAUCGUAAAGCUCUUUCGUUAGGGACGAACGUGCUCUUUGUGAAUAAUGAGGAGUAAUGACGGUACCUAAAUAAGAAGCCACGGCUAACUACGUGCCAGCCGCCGC